rnacentral:rRNA from 1 species
AACUAACGCUGGCGGCGCGUCUUAAACAUGCAAGUCAAACGGAUGUAGCAAUACAUCAGUGGCGAACGGGUGAGUAACACGUAGGUAAUCUACCCUCGAGUUGGGGAUAACCUACCGAAAGGUAGGCUAAUACCGAAUAGAAUCAUGAUAGCGAGAGCUGAUGUGAUUAAAGGAGCGAUUCGCUCGAGGAUGAGCCUGCGGCUGAUUAGCUAGUUGGUGAGGUAACGGCUCACCAAGGCGACGAUCAGUAGCCGGCCGGAGAGGGUGAACGGCAACAUUGGGACUGAGACACGGCCGAGACUCCUACGGGAGGCAGCAGGUAAGAAUCUUGCUCGAUGGGGGAAACCCUGAAGCAGCGACGCCGCGUGAACGAUGAAGGUCUUCGGAUUGUAAAGGUCAAUAAGGAGGGAAAAAUAAGCAGUGAUGUGAUGAUUGUACCUCUCUAAAGCACCGGCUAACUACGUGCCAGCCGCCGCAGUAA